ensembl:lncRNA
UUAAAGGUCUCAAUGGUUGCUGCUGUCCUGCUGUUUCCACUUCUGUUAAAGGAGAGUCUCAGAUCUCUUUAUGUUAUCAGUGAGGAACCAGAUACACCCAACCCUGUGCUGUUUAUAAAGGGACGUGCCUUGGAUGUAGAGUCUCUUUAAGAAGUAAUGAUGGAAGGGGAGGAGGAGGUCUGUGAAGCAGACGAUGUGAACGCAGCUCUACACUUCAUCUUCAACACUGAAUAUGCUUCAAAGCUGAGAGACACCCUGACAUUCAUUGAAAACUGUUUCAUGUAUUAUAAUGCCAAAACCAAUAUGCCACCCACAAUGGCCAGUUUUUUUUUUUUUUGGUAUUAAAUGAAUGUAUAUAUAUAAAUGCAUGAUAUUGAUUAUUGUUUGUUUAUUUAUUUAUGUGUUUGUUGGUUUGUUUGUAAUACAUAUUUAUGUAUUUAACAGUUCAUGGACAAUCAUGGUGUUCUGUUUAUAUAGUCAAAUUAUAUUAGUAAUGUAUAAUAUUAAUAAUAACAAUAAUAAUAAUAAUAAUGUUAUUGCUAUCUAGAAAAGGGUUCAUAAAGGAACUGAUGAGGGUCAUUAAUGCACCUUUAAGUGGAGGUUCCAAUACGCCGAUUUUACCCAGCCGCCAUUUUGAAACUGAAAGCGAGGCUCCGGUGGGAAGAAACCCGGAAGUAAAGGUACACAACAAUGGCUUGGACUACCAACCUAGAGCUGCUACCGCGAUUUAAUAUAUUAGAUGUCGAAAAAUGGGCCGUGGAAGGAUGUCGAAUCCCACGAGCUGUUUUGUUAAAAGGAUUCAGCAACUGGAUCGAGGGCUAUGUCACCGAUAUUGAAGGUGGAAUUUCCAUCUGAAGGUUCCUUCAUCGUUGGCCUGUCAAAGUGCAACUGCAAAGCUGGCCUAGGUCACUGCAAUCAUCAGAUUGGGUUACUGUAUACCCUGGCACACUAUAUAAAACUGGGAUACAAGUCUGUUCCACCUACUGUUAGUAAAACCUUCCUACCAAAGACAUGGCAUGUUCCUUCACGUUCUAUGGGUCUAGCCCCAAACCUAUUAAUACAGUAAAUAUAUCUAAAUUAAAGCCCCCAACAGCUGAUCCACCACAAACAUCCUAUAAAAGAUCUUGUCAUGGAAUAAUACCCAACAUCUACUGUCCUAUUCCAACCCCUUUACCAAGUGAUCAGUUUGCUGAUGACCUUUGUGAAAAUCUUGCUAAAAUUGGAAGCAAUAGCCAAAUGUACAAACUGCUGCUGGCAUCAAGGAGAUACCCAGUGGACCAAGUUGAAUCAGAAUUUGGACUUCUGCCCCAUGGAUCAGUGUUGAGGUACCAAGCCAUUGGCUUACCCACCACAACCACUGAUCACUACCCACCUUUUCCUCCACCACAACAACCGUGCACUUACUCAACAGUUCUCAAAGAGAAGGAGAGUAGUUUCUAUAGAAGUAUGACUGUUACUCCCUCUGAUGCUGAGGCACUAGAGAAAGAAACCAGGGGACAAAGUGACAGUAAGAUGUGGCACCGUGUUCGUUUCCAAGCGUCUGACUUCAUCAAAUUUAAAAGAAUAGUCUCAAGAGUUGGAGACAUCAGCACGCUUUCCACCAGUAUGCAGAAGCAGAAAAGGUCAGUGCAGACACAAGCCAUGAAGAGAGGCCUGGAACUGGAGCCAGAUGCAGCUGCACAAUAUGAGCAGGAAACCGGCAAUCGUGUUUUCCAUUGUGGCUUUGUCAUAAAUCCUCAUGCCCCCCAUUUAUCUCCUGAUAGUGCAUCUCCUGAUAGAAAGGUGGUUGACAGUACUGGUGUUCUGGGGUUGCUUGAAAUCAAGUGCCCUGAUGUAGACAGUGUACUAGAGUGCAAAUACCUUUCUGUAAAAGAAGAUGGUGCACUUGCUCUGAAAACUAGCCAUGAAUAUCAUUUUCAGAUGAUUGGACAAAUGGGAAUCACAGGGAUGACCUGGUGUGACUUUUUCGUAAAAUCCAGAAAUGACUUCCAUCUAGAGCGCAUUGACUUUAAUGAAGAGAAGUGGGAGUUUGUAAAAAAUAAAUUAGACUUGUUUUUUUUCAACUACUGGCUGCCCAACCUGUGCUUAUAAAUCAACCUGUGCUUAGUGAGUAACACACACACACACACUAACACACUUAACAGACAGUCAAUGCACACAUUAGAUAAUUAAAAUAGUAAAUUUAUGUACAGUUUUAGAACAGCUAAUUUCUACAUUAUAAACAAAUAUUGUCAUUGCUAUUUAUAAUAGGUUUUCACUGUAGUAUAUACACAUGUACGAUUUC